UUGAAAUACUCGCAGCUGCACAAAUAGUUACGCUCCUUGCAAGUUCGAACGUUCAACGGAUUCCGGAAAUGAAUCUCAUACAAAUCGACUCGUCAUUGUAGACAACGUGAUUAAAUUACUCUCAUUGAUUAACUACUCGUCUCAUUGUAUGUUUAACGAGUACCACGACUAUGCAAGUAAUUCAAUGUUUAUAUUUCUCGGCUCUAAUCCUUCGUACGCCGAGCUUGGUGUCGAAUACGUUUAGUGUGAUACGGUCGUUCGAUCUGACAAGUGCUAUCUGCGAACUGUCGUGCGAUUGUACGAGCCCCGAGCACAACGCAAUUUUUCAAGAAAUUGACCGUCGUCAGAAGAUCGAGAAGCCCGUGACUUGCAUUUGAACUUCGUCUCGUCUGCUUCGCUCUUCGACUCGAACCAUUUCAUCCGAGUAACAUGUACAGCCAAAUAGCCAGCUGCUUACCGAGAAGACCGUGCCCUGAUGAAUUUCACGAAUCGUCCGCCGAUGGAAUUGAUUUCUUCUUUUUUCUUUUUUUCAGAAGUAAUCGGCAAUUUCCAGUAGGAAUAUCGGGUCAAGAUUUUUUAAAGGGCGCGAAGCAAUUAAAUGGUCCGUGCUUAAUUGAUCAUUCGGCCGCGUUCGUCUCAUCGAUGGAAAAUGGUAGCCGCUGGCAAGUUUCUUCGAUUCGCUUAAAAUUUUCGUCGGAUUAUUCGCGACCUGUUGGGAAAAACGCGCCAAGUAAGUAAUUAAGAAAGUAGCUGGAACCACUCCGAAAACUGGGCUAAAUUACUCGGAAAAAUUUAAUUCUCUGAUAAUAUAGGCCACGUGCAUCGUUUCGCGAGGCUUGAAACUUUCUCUCUCUCUCUUUCUCUUCAUCGGCUAUUUCCUCCCUCGGGCUAAUUUCCCAUCGUUAAUGGCCGCCGUUCUUUCGCGCGAUUAUUUUGGUUAUCCUCUAUACGAAGAUUAUUUGACAUUUGGUGUUUUCAAAUACAUCAAGGUGAUUGGAAAAGUGGAAACGAAGCAUUCGUGGAAUACAUACGACCUAUUUCCAAGAAUUAUUCGAUCUUCUUAUGUAACACCAGUUAUAAAUGAAAUUCCACUUAUUCGAUAGAUGUAAUAUCAGAGACCUGAUAUCCGUGUAAUAGAUUCCGUAUCCUUUUCAGCUCUGCUGAUAAAUCUACCCCUUGCAGAUCGGAUAUUCUUCUUCAUUUAGGAUUUCAGCUUAAUUGCAAUUUCUAUCGACAGAAUUUUCAGUAAAAAUCACAGUCACUCAAGACCUGGCGGUGGCUCGUAGGUCCAAGAAUCGUAAUCCAACUGUGGCGAACGAAAGACGAACGUCGAUCACGCACGUGUUCCACUUGCUCAGUGGCAAGCACCUCCUGGUUAACGUAAAAUGACGCACCAAGGUCCUGCACAGGUUGAACCAAUUAAACGGCGAUUUAAUCGACGCUAAGUCGAUUACACGGUGUUUCUGGGCAAAAGGUCUAGCGAUGCGGUAAGAGGAAAUGGCAGAGGAAGAGACGAGAAAACAGAAAUUCAGAGAGAAAAUAGAGAGACAGCGACGUCUUCUGACCGCCAUGUAACGAGCCGCAAGGGGAUGCUCUCGGCCGCUGUCAAAUUAAUAUGCUCGUCUGUCUGUUACUGCGAUUCUGCAACUUAUUUUGUCCGCGCCAACGUGCACCAGGUCUAAAGCAAUUUUCAGAAAUAUUUGGAAACCUCGCGGAUAUUAAACGGUCUUCUCUUCAAAGGACGCUUGACUCGGUGUACGUGAGCAGAAUCUGUUGCAAAAAUUCCUAUCGUUCCGAUGCACGGAACAUUAUUAUUUGAACAUCAUUUUCGAACAUGCUUUUUUCCAACCGAUAGGCAAAGAACAUGAGGCUGUUGGACGAUGUGUUUUUCAAUAUUUUUGUCGAUAGUAUCGCAACCACGUUGUUUCGAUGUUCACGUUGAUCGAAUAGUCUCAUAGAAAGAAGAUUAAAAGAGAGAACACUCCAUUGAUGACAGUAAAGAAAUAAAAUAGUCAAACUCGAAGAUGGUAUCCCGGUGGGGGUAGCCAUCCACGUGUUAUUCAACAAUUAAGUUAGAAAAAUUUACCAAAUGUCCAGCUGGACAAAUUGUAAAGUACAAAUUAAGUAAUAAUUUAAAAAAAGAAAAAACUUUGACUGCUUAAAGUAAUCAAACUCGAUGAUGGUAUCCCGGUGGGAGUAGCCACCCACGUGUUAUUUAGCAAUUAGGUUUGAAAAAUUUACCAAAUGUCCAGCUGAACAAACUGUAAUGUACAAAUUAAAUAAUAAUAAAAAAAAAGAAGAAACUUUAACUGUUUAAAAUAAUCAAACUCGAAGAUGGUAACCCGGUGGGGGCGACCAUUCACAUAUUCAGCAAUUAAAUUAGAAAAAUUCAGCAAGUGCCCUGCUGGACAAAUUGUAAAGUACAAAUUAAAUAAUAAUAAGAAAAAAGAAAAAAACUUUGACUGUUUAAAAUAAUCAAACUCGAAGAUGGUAACCCGGUGGGGGCGGCCAUUCACAUAUUAUUCAGCAAUUAAAUUAGAAAAAUUCAGCAAGUGCCCUGCUGGACAAAUUGUAAAGUACAAAUUAAAUAAUAAUAAGAAAAAAGAAAAAAACUUUGACUGUUUAAAAUAAUCAAACUCGAAGAUGGUAACCCGGUGGGGGCGGCCAUUCACAUAUUAUUCAGCAAUUAAAUUAGAAAAAUUCAGCAAGUGUCCAGCUGGACAAAUUGUAAAGUAAAUUAAAUAAUAAAAAAGAACGUUGAUCGAACGAAAUAAAUAUUGGCUUGGCAACUAAGUGAUUGCGGAUUUUGUCAAGACCACCUAAUGACAAAAUCCGCAAUCACUUAGUUGCCAAGCCAAUAUUACGAAAUAAAGUAAAUAUUAAAUUACAAAAAUUAAAAGAAUUACAAUCAUCAACUACGUACGUCGCGUCCAAAAUUCUCUAAUCGCUGAAAUGUGUCUGUCUCCACUGUGUACGUAUUUUUCGUAACGUUUUGCGUUACGUAUCGACGUAUUCUUGGUCGCGUGUGAUAGUUUCAAUGUUAACGUCGUGAAACGCACGUAUUGUGCACGUAUAAUCUAAGAUCGAUUAUUAAUAGAGAAAUUACAGCGGAAUGAAAUUAUUUCGUAAUUACAUUACGAAACUGCAUGUUUGUAGAAUUUACGUGAUAGGAACAAGACGAUGUUUAACAUCGAAAUGAAACUAACUUGCCGGGUUCAAUUAAAAUUCUAAAAUUCCCGGGAUUUUUACUUCUUGUAGUUUCUGUUUAUAGAAAAUUACGUUAUUUAUUAAACAUAAACUACGAAAUAAGCUGCGCGUUCUACGUUUUUACCAAGUGCUUCCGCGAGCCAAUUAAUCGGAUCGUGUUUCAGUAUUUGCGGAAAAUUCCCAAUUAAAACUCCAGUCAACAUUGAGAUGCUGUAACUUACCUGUGCUAACAAUAUUUGCUAACAAUAUUCUUUCUCCGUUUACUCCCAUACGAAUUACAAUUGACCGAUAUAGCAUGGAAAAUUUGAAAAUUUCAUCGUGUAUGCCAUAAUUAAAUUUGCAUAGAAAUUUCUGUAACCUUGUUUUAAACAUUGCCCUCGGAUACUUUAGUUUGAAGGAGAAUAUGGUUGCAGAAUGUUAUUCAGGAAUUAACUCGACACUGGGAACUCUACGUCAGAUCUAGUUUCAUUGUGAACUGAAAGAAAAAAUGUAUAUUUCUCGUACAAAAAAGAAAAAAGAAAAUAAUUAGAAGAAUCUAUAAUUGUUUUUUAAUGAAAAAUUGUAUAUGAAUUUUACAUAAUGAGAUUAAUACGUCGAAAUAUGACGAUUCCAUACGAAGGAGAAAAGAUAGAUUUGCUCCAACGAGUGUUUAACGUUUGUUGGGAACGAAAAAUGUAAAACUGCGUGUAUGUUGUACAAGCUGAUUCAAAUUCUUUCCUUCCUACAGUCAGGCAUUGUGAAAUCAUUUAACGAAGCUUGCAAAUAAUUCAUUAAAUCUAAUGUCAUGAAAUACACGUUAUCAAAAUGUUUUUUAUAGUUUUAUUAUACGAUUUAUAAAUGCUAAUAAACUUGCGCGUAUUAUCCGAGUUUCCGAUUAUCCGAUAACAGACUUGGUGCAAGUCAGAGCGGAUAAUCGAGGUUCUACCGCAGCUACGUGAAUCUUUGGGUAUCUCGUUCGUCAGGACGACAGUUCGUUAGAAGCCGCGUCCAAUUAUUAUUUAUUAGCCUCGUUAUGCAGCUUGUAAUUAUCAACUUUACGCGCAUGCUCGUGCAUCUAAUAUUUACAGGGAAUUUCAUUUAAUUUUGAGAAACUCGAACAAGCUUCUCGAUAGAAACAGCGUUCGUAAAGAAAUCGAUCGACCGAUGACGAUUAAGUCGACGAAAGUGGUCGUAUCACGCGUUAGUUCCAGUCACCUUAGUCCGGCGGCGUUCGUUUCGCGCAACUGUUCGCGACACGCGGCGGGCCUGCAAUUUUGUAGUUGCGCGUGCGACAGAUUGCUACGUUUCUCUGGAAAAGUCGAAUUCUUCCGCGUCUUUGCAGGAAUUUUGGCGAUUUCUUAUCGUCGUAGCUAAUUUUUCUGUUCCUCAGACAUCUUCUUAUUCCACGACCUUUAACAUGGAAUUUCUCUAUCGACUAAGAAGAUUUUUGGAGAAAGUUUAACUUAUAUAAACGUAUAAGUGUAUUUUUUAACUAAACACUUAAAAUAUUAUGAAAUUCUUACUUAUCUCGUUAAUGUAGAAAGAACAAGAUUGUUUGAGGGCCACUGCAUCGUAAUUAUCAAUUCAGAACUAAAACUUGCAAUAGAUCAACCAGACCAGAAAUUGAAGAGCAACUUUAUUUAAGAAACGUAUACGUGCCGUUUAAUUGGAUGAUGAUCGGUUAAAGUAGAAUAUUACGUACACGUAAUAUUAAUCAACGAAAUGAAGCUCAAUGUUACAAUGUCGCUGCUUCUGCUCUCGGAAACGACGACGCGAGUGGAAACGCCCGUUCGGAUAUCGCGUCUCGAUCUGGCGUCCGAUUUCCCGAUUUUCCCAUCGAUAAUCAGUGUAUUAGGAUAAUUAAAGGACCUGCAGUUGGUUCUUCCUCGCUGAUACGCCGCGACGAUCUCCACCCACGAGUUGCCGGGCUCAUUAAUGUUGCGCGUAUCGGCCAGGAAGAGAAAGGGAGGAACGACGAAAGUGGGUCACGUUCAGACAUCGCCACCGCGGAAAUUCAUAUGGUCGUCGUUCGCUGUUACUAAUUCCUCUACACCGCGCGGAAUUAUGAUACGGCUCUAUGUAUCGUCUAGCUAUGGCGACGAUGGUGUCACGUAGGAGACACAAGGAAUCACGAAAUUGACAGAUCAGCGGUCAUCUCGUCACGUAAAAUUCGUGAUGAGGAAAUUAAAAAGAAAGGAAGAGCUGAGCAAUAGCACAACUUGACUGUCUUUUUAUAUUUCUGCAUGCUUUAUUCACGAAGGUUGUUAAGUACAAAAUUACAAUGUUACGAAGUAGCCGAGUCACAAAGUAUUAAAAUUGUUGUUCAAACUGUGCCGAAGACUGGUCUCGUGGUCGAAUACUCGCAGUUUUAUGUGUUGAGUUUGUCGAAGUUGAGGGACAAGGGGAGGAUCCUGAGUGCCCUACGUGAUGGGGAAAGUUUGAUGCUGGGCCAUGUGCAAAGGUAAGGUCAAGGUCUAAAGGUUUAGUGUCAGGCAGUGUGGAAUGACGUGGAUUCCAAGUAUGGUCGCUGUCACAAUCUCCUCCUCGCCUCACAGUUCCAACCUUUCAUAAAUAAAGAAUUGAGCGUCAGAUAUUUUUCUUUUUUUUUUUUUUUUUGGAAGUAGUUUUCAAUCAAUUCUCAUUGAGAAUUAUAAGUAAAUUAUUCUGGCGUGGUACUAUAACGCGAAUAAUAAAUGAUCAUCGUAUGUGUGAUUCUAGCUGAAUCUAAUGAUUGUUCUCGGUGUGUUCGAUUGUAGCGACUCUGGUGGCUUUAUGUGGCACAUUGCUGCUGUCCCCCAUAGUGGUAUUCCGUACAUCCAAAUUGCUUUUAUUAUCGUUCUGUAUAUUUUUCAUUUAUUUUCUAUGCCGACUUUAGAAUUUCGACUAGUUAACCAGUACAUUUGUCUUCUUUUUAUCUGUAUUUUUCCCAUAAUUCAUUUAGUAUUGUGUUGUUUCCACCUAAGUUGUGCGUCUAAGUGGAGUCGCAGGUAUUUAACUUGUCUUGUGCCAUUCAGUUGGAUAUUCGGUGGUUUCCAUUUUCUCAGUGUAAAUGUAAUAUGGUUGCAUUUACUGCGAGCUGAUUUUGGGAAGGUUUAUAUUCUAUCGGUUUGGCUCCUAUGGUGGGGGGCGCCGCUGGGAGUGUCGCAGGGGACCAGAUCAGAGGGCGCCAUGCUGCUACUGUUUCCUCACACUGGGACACUGUCUACGUUGUUGUUUCGAUGGUCUGCGGGGUGUUGGUUAGACCUCGUUAGUUUCUCUAUUGCUAAUUUAUAUUUUAUAUUGUAAAUUAUGUUUUUACAUUGCAGCGUUUGUCUGAAAGUUGUUGUUUUAUUAAA